rnacentral:misc_RNA from 1 species
UUUGUGCUUCUCUUUUUGUGUGAAAGUUGCGCCACUGGCCCUUUACUGGCUUGACAAUGGGCAAGAAGAAGGUUGGAGAGAUCCAGUGCAGCGAGGAUUUCUGCAUCCCUGCUGGGGAUAGGGAUGCGAACAGCGCGCUCCCCGCUGAGGAGUGGCCCCUGCUGCUGAAGAACUAUGACAAGAUGAACGUCCGCUCUACCCAUUUCACGCUGCUGGAGUGCGGCUGGUCACCACUACGCCGCCCCUUAGCCGAGUACAUCAAGUACGGCAUGAUCAACAUGGAUAAGCCCUCCAACCCUAGCUCUCACGAGGUUGUCUCCUGGAUCAAGCGCAUUUUGAAGUGCGACAAGACUGGCCACGCCGGUACACUCGAUCCGAAGGUGACUGGUGCCUUAAUCAUCUGCACCGACCGUGCCACGCGCUUGGUGAAGUCCCAGCAAAACGCCGGUAAGACGUACAUUGGUGUACUGCGCCUCCACGAUACGGUGAGCCAGAAGAAGGUGAACGCUGCUCUCCAGCGGCUUACGGGUCCAUGUUUUCAGCGUCCUCCUCUGAUCGCGGCAGUGAAACGCCAGCUCCGCAUUCGCAACAUCUACUCUAACCAACUGAUCGAGUAUGACAAGCACCGGCACCUGGCCGUGUUCGAGACGCACUGCGAGGCUGGUACGUACAUUCGUACCCUUUGCGUGCAUCUCGGCCUCAUCCUCGGCGCUGGUGGCCACAUGGAAGAGCUGCGCCGUAUCCGCACCGGUGUCAUCACCGAGAACGAUCACCUCUCCACCAUGCACGAUGUCAUGGAUGCUCAGUGGCUCUACGAGAAUGAGAGGGACGACACAUAUCUGCGCCGCGUCAUCCUGCCAUGCGAGUACCUGCUGUCGAACCACAAGCGCAUCGUCGUGAAGGACUCCGCCGUCAACGCCGUGUGCUAUGGCGCGAAGCUGAUGAUUCCUGGUCUCGCGCGCUUUGACAACGGCAUUGAGCGCGACGACGUUGUGGUGCUGAUGACCACGAAGGGUGAGGCCAUUGCUCUUGCGUAUGCGGAGAUGACCACGUCUCAAAUGGCUUCCGUUGACCACGGCAUCGUUGCGCGAAGCAAGCGCGUGAUCAUGGACCGUGACACGUACCCGCGCCGCUGGGGUCUCGGCCCGAUCGCCGUGAAGAAGCGUUCGAUGAUGAAGGACGGCCUCUUGGACAAGUACGGUCGCCCACAGUCGAAUACUCCGCCGGACUGGUUCUACGUCGACUACGGAGGCGUGAAAACCAACGCGGAAGGUGUCCAAUACGGUCAGGCUCCGUCCAAGGUGAGCGGUGUAAAGCGCCAGCGCGUGCCGGACUCUGAUGAUGAUUAGUGUGCAUGUUGUUUUUUUUUUCCCCGCGUUCCCUGUCCUCUGCCUUUUUCCACCCCUCGAUGAUGCGUGGUGAGAUGAAGUGUGUGUGCGUGUGCUUGUGGAGGCAGGGGAGAGGAAAAGGAAGGGGUGUUUAUGCGGCUACUUUUGCAAGCACUCGAAGAAAGGCGGUGAGUGGAAGGGGCUUUCUGCUUGCCGAACGUUGAUUUAUACAGGAGUGUGCGCUUGUUUGUGUGCGCACGUCUGCGCAUGUUUGUGGUGUCUUCGGAUUUUGUUCGCUGUGACGCUCAGGUUAAUUGAGGCUAAUUCUAAACCGCUCUCCGUUUGAGUGUGUGCGUAUGCGUGUGCGUGCGCAUUUUCUAUCGAGGCGCUGAUCGUAUUUUUCCUCCUCUUCCUCGUCGUUAAACAGGCUAAACCACCGGAAAAAAAAUGAGAUGCUCUCGGGAACACUGAGCGCUUUCGGUAUAUGUGUGCAUGCCGUCGCCUAAGAUGCACCGAAACACGCGCUCUUCACUAUGCAUUCCCACUUGGGCAGCGUACAUUUAGGCGAUCGUCUCAGGCAUCCAUCUAAUGCAAGCACUGCCUUGUCCUCCUCGCAAAGCGCUGAGAAAAAAAGCUGCACUGGAGCUGUGGGCGUUGCGAAAUGAAGCGCGUGAGCGUAGUUGGGUGCAAGUGCGUGCGUGUGUGUGCCGUGCGACGGUGCAGUCUCUUCGCCACCCCUUCUGUUCCCUAUCACCGUCGUCCAAGUCGAUGAAUGUCUCACACACACAAACGAAUGCCGACCUUGGUAGUGGUCUUGUCGGAACAAACACACAUGAAAAUAGCAAACGGUGUGAAGGAGCUCUCUACAGUCGCAAAUAUAUAUAUAUAUAUAUAUCGACAAGCACAGUGUCUGAAGGGACUCUGACUUGUCAUCGGGAGCGAGAGAGUGCGCUGCCGUUGCCACACGACAUUCCAUGUGAAAUCCCAACGGCGUUCG